UACGUAGGGGGCAAGCGUUGUCCGGAAUUACUGGGCGUAAAGGGCGCGUAGGCGGCCUGUUAAGUCGAACGUGAAAUCCCCGGGCUCAACCCGGGAACUGCGUCCGAUACUGGCAGGCUUGAAUCCGGGAGAGGGAUGCGGAAUUCCAGGUGUAGCGGUGAAAUGCGUAGAUAUCUGGAGGAACACCGGUGGCGAAGGCGGCAUCCUGGACCGGCAUUGACGCUGAGGCGCGAAAGCCAGGGGAGCAAACGGG
rnacentral:rRNA from 1 species